rnacentral:misc_RNA from 1 species
GAUGAAGAACGUAGCGAAAUGCGACACUUGGUGUGAAUUGCAGAAUCCCGUGAACCAUCGAGUCUUUGAACGCAAGUUGCGCCCGAAGCCAUUAGGCCGAGGGCACGCCUGCCUGGGCGUCACACGUCGUUGCCCCCCCCAUCUACUCCUUCGGGAUUGCGGGGGGCGGAUGAUGGCCUCCCGUGCGCCUCGCCGCGCGGUUGGCAUAAAUGCCAAGUCCUCGGCGAUGCACGCCACGACAAUCGGUGGUUGCGAAACCUCGGUUGCCCGUCGUGUGCGGUCGUCGCGCAUCGAGGGCUCGAAAAAAUUGCCGGGUUCCGGCUCGGCUUUCAACGCGACCCCAGGUCAGGCGGGGUUACCCGCUGAAUUUAAGCAUAUCAAUAAGCGGAGGA